CUUAUUCAUUUUUUCUAACUAUUUUUUUGUACCUACUAACCAUCCCCACUCUACCGCGCAAUCCCCCACCCCAACCCCACUACCCUUCCCAGCCUCUGGUAAGCAUCAUUAUCUCCAUGAGUUCAAUUGUUUUAAUUGUUAGCUCCCACAAAUAAAUUAGAACAUGUGAAGUUUGUCUUUCAGUGCCUGCCUUAUUUCACUUAACAUGACCUCCAGUUCCAUCCAUGUUGUUGCAAAUUACAGGAUCUCAUUCUUUUUUAUGGCUACAUAGUACUCUGUUGUUUUUAAGUACCACAUUUCCUUUUUUUGUUUUUUGAGAUGGAGUCUCGCUCUGUCGCCUAAGUAACACUUUUUCAUGAACUGGAUUCAUCAUAAAUGUUAGAUAGCCUAGUAAUCUGAUCCCAAAUGGAAUUUAUUAUAUUCUAUUAUCCUUACAUUCACUCAUUCAACAAAUAUUUGAGUGCCUGUCUGUGCCAGAAAUUUAAAGACUUCUAGUCUUUUUUAAAAAAUAAACAAUCUUCCAUUAGCAAUUUCAUAUGCUACAUAGCAAGUUCAGAAUUUUGUGAUGCCUGAAUUACAAACAAAUAUACAGAGUAUUAAACCUCGGAUAUUUGUGCAGACAAAUAUGCUUGAUAAAUGACUUUGGAGACCCAGAAAUGAGAAUGGCUAGAACUAGGGAUCCCCUCUCUCUGCAGCAGGAGGCCCUGCAUCUAAACUCAUCUUCCCACAAAGUCUCCAGAUUUUGGGCAGCCAGCUUUCUCAGCACUCCCCAAAAUAGCUGGCAAUUAAGUUCAGACUGUCCAAGCAGUCCAUUUGCCACUUUCAUAAUCACUUUGCUUAAAGAGAGAGUGCAAUAGAGGGAAUGGGGUCCCUCUCCUAGAGGAUGGCUAGCACAGUGUCCCUAGCUGUUUCCUGGUUCACGCAUGUCUUUUUAGAAUGUUCAGCGAAGGAGGAACCAUCCGCUGCUGACCUGUUUGCCUAGAAUCCCAGCUUGCUCCAAGCCAUCCCACACUUGUUCGCUGGAGUUCAUUGCCUGGCAAUAUUCAAGUAAACAUUGUUCUUGAGGUCUGUGGGAAUCUUGGAUCUGGCAGAGUUCUACUAUCCCCUUCUAGUCUUCUCCUCAACUUCUCCAUGACUUGCUGGAACUGCCAGAAUUUCAGUCAGGAUCAUGAAGGCACAUUAUACUCUACCAGAGGCCCCUAAAUCUCCCUGGAGGAGCUCCAUUGCCAAUACUUGUUUCCUAGCCCCACACAAACAUGAACUGAAAUGUGAGAGUUGAAGGAGGUGACCAGUUCUUAAACCCCAUGGAUUCCCCUUCAGUUUUUCUUCCCUAUCCUCUACAGGUUUGUUCCUUCAUUUGGUUUUUGGUGAUGGGGAUGUGGAUGCACUUGCUUUCACAUUUUUGUUUAUAGCCUUACAUCUGGAUAUUCCUUAUAAACUUAAAAAGCUAGACUUCAGCAUCUUUAUUCUCACCCCCAGAACUGACCACUGCCUGACCCCACCUAGAUGGUGGCCUCUUGUCCUGCAGCCCAAAUGGGAGAGAUUGCCAUGAAUAAUGGUGGGGUGGGGAAUAAAAUAAUUGGACUAACACCUCACAAAAUCAUUGCAUCUCAUAUCUUCCAAAUAUUACGUUUUAUGUGAAACAACAAUUAUGUCACAGGAAGUGAAGAAUAGGAAAAAUGUAUUUAUACCAUGAUUAAAGCUAUAUAAAAUAUAAAAUAAAACUGUCUAUAAACAAAAUAAGACAGGGAUGAA
rnacentral:lncRNA from 10 species